UGGGGAAUAUUGGACAAUGGGGGCAACCCUGAUCUAGCAAUGCCGCGUGUGUGAAGAAGGUCUUCGGAUUGUAAAGCACUUUCGACGGGGACGAUGAUGACGGUACCCGUAGAAGAAGCCCCGGCUAACUUCGUGCCAGCAGCCGCGGUAAUACGAAGGGGGCUAGCGUUGCCCGGAAUGACUGGGCGUAAAGGGCGUGUAGGCGGUUUACACAGUCAGAUGUGAAAUCCCCGGGCUUAACCUGGGAGCUGCAUUUGAUACGUGUAGACUAGAGUGUGAGAGAGGGUUGUGGAAUUCCCAGUGUAGAGGUGAAAUUCGUAGAUAUUGGGAAGAACACCGGUGGCGAAGGCGGCAACCUGGCUCAUGACUGACGCUGAGGCGCGAAAGCGUGGGGGAGCAAACAGGAUUAGAUACCCUGGUAGUCCACGCUGUAAACGAUGUGUGCUAGAUGUUGGGUAACUUUGUUAUUCAGUGUCGCAGUUAACGCGUUAAGCACACCGCCUGGGGAGUACGGCCGCAAGGUUGAAACUCUA
rnacentral:rRNA from 1 species